AACGAACGCUGGCGGCAUGCCUAACACAUGCAAGUCGAACGAGACCUUCGGGUCUAGUGGCGCACGGGUGCGUAACGCGUGGGAACCUGCCCUUAGGUUCGGAAUAACUCCCCGAAAGGGGUGCUAAUACCGGAUAAUGUCUUCGGGCCAAAGAUUUAUCGCCUUUGGAUGGGCCCGCGUUGGAUUAGCUAGUUGGUAGGGUAAAAGCCUACCAAGGCGACGAUCCAUAGCUGGUCUGAGAGGAUGAUCAGCCACACUGGGACUGAGACACGGCCCAGACUCCUACGGGAGGCAGCAGUGGGGAAUAUUGGACAAUGGGCGAAAGCCUGAUCCAGCAAUGCCGCGUGAGUGAUGAAGGCCUUAGGGUUGUAAAGCUCUUUUACCCGGGAUGAUAAGGACAGGACCGGGAGAAUAAGCUCCGGCUAACUCCGG
rnacentral:rRNA from 1 species